CCGUGAAACUGCGAAUGGCUCAUUAAAUCAGUUAUCGUUUAUUUGAUAGUACCUUACUACUUGGAUAACCGUGGUAAUUCUAGAGCUAAUACAUGCUGAAAACCCUGACUUCGGAAAGGGUGUAUUUAUUAGAUAAAAAACCAAUGCCCUUUGGGCUCUUUGGUGAUUCAUGAUAACUUAACGGAUCGCAUGGCCUUGCGCCGGCGACGGUUCAUUCAAAUUUCUGCCCUAUCAACUUUCGAUGGUAAGGUAUUGGCUUACCAUGGUUUCAACGGGUAACGGGGAAUUAGGGUUCGAUUCCGGAGAGGGAGCCUGAGAAACGGCUACCACAUCCAAGGAAGGCAGCAGGCGCGCAAAUUACCCAAUCCCGACACGGGGAGGUAGUGACAAUAAAUACUGAUACAGGGCUCUUUUGGGUCUUGUAAUCGGAAUGAGUACAAUUUAAACCUCUUAACGAGGAACAAUUGGAGGGCAAGUCUGGUGCCAGCAGCCGCGGUAAUUCCAGCUCCAAUAGCGUAUAUUAAAGUUGUUGCAGUUAAAAAGCUCGUAGUUGAAUCUUGGGCCUGGCUGGCCGGUCCGCCUCACCGCGUGUACUGGUCUGGCCGGGCCUUUCCUUCUGGAGAACCUCAUGCCCUUCAGUGGGUGUGUUGGGGAACCAGGACUUUUACUUUGAAAAAAUUAGAGUGUUCAAAGCAGGCCUUUGCUCGAAUACGUUAGCAUGGAAUAAUAGAAUAGGACGUGCGGUCCUAUUUUGUUGGUUUCUAGGACCGCCGUAAUGAUUAAUAGGGAUAGUCGGGGGCAUCAGUAUUCAAUUGUCAGAGGUGAAAUUCUUGGAUUUAUUGAAGACUAACUACUGCGAAAGCAUUUGCCAAGGAUGUUUUCAUUAAUCAGUGAACGAAAGUUAGGGGAUCGAAGACGAUCAGAUACCGUCGUAGUCUUAACCGUAAACUAUGCCGACUAGGGAUCGGGCGAUGUUUCUAUCUUGACUCGCUCGGCACCUUACGAGAAAUCAAAGUU
rnacentral:rRNA from 2 species